GCCAGGCGUGGGAGUGCAUGCCUGUAAUCCCAGCUACUUGGGAGGCUGAGGUAGGAGGAUCACUUAAGCCCAGGAGAUGGAGACUGCAGUGAGCUGAGAUUGCACCACUGCACUCCAGCCUGGGUGACAGAGUGAGAUCCUGUCUCAA
ensembl:misc_RNA Metazoa_SRP Metazoan signal recognition particle RNA